GACGAACGCUGGCGGCGUGCUUAACACAUGCAAGUCGAACGGAAAGGCCCUGCUUUUGUGGGGUGCUCGAGUGGCGAACGGGUGAGUAACACGUGAGUAACCUGCCCUUGACUUUGGGAUAACUUCAGGAAACUGGGGCUAAUACCGGAUAGGAGCUCCUGCUGCAUUGUGGGGGUUGGAAAGUUUCGGCGGUUGGGGAUGGACUCGCGGCUUAUCAGCUUGUUGGUGGGGUAGUGGCUUACCAAGGCUUUGACGGGUAGCCGGCCUGAGAGGGUGACCGGCCACAUUGGGACUGAGAUACGGCCCAGACUCCUACGGGAGGCAGCAGUGGGGAAUAUUGCACAAUGGGCGGAAGCCUGAUGCAGCAACGCCGCGUGCGGGAUGACGGCCUUCGGGUUGUAAACCGCUUUCGCCUGUGACGAAGCGUGAGUGACGGUAAUGGGUAAAGAAGCACCGACUAACUACGUG
rnacentral:rRNA from 1 species